rnacentral:rRNA from 1 species
GAUGAACGCUAGCGGCAGGCUUAAUACAUGCAAGUCGUGGGGCAGCAGGGUUGUAGCAAUACAACCGCUGGCGACCGGGAAACGGGUGCGUAACACGUACGCAACCUUCCCGUCACUGUGGCAUAGCCCAGGGAAACUUGGAUUAAUACCACAUAUUAUAUUGAGGGGGCAUCCCUUUGAUAUCAAAGCUUCGGCGGUAACGGAUGGGCGUGCGGUUGAUUAGGUAGUUGGCGGGGUAACGGCCCACCAAGCCUACGAUCAAUAGCUGAUGUGAGAGCAUGAUCAGCCACACGGGCACUGAGACACGGGCCCGACUCCUACGGGAGGCAGCAGUAAGGAAUAUUGGGCAAUGGACGAAAGUCUGACCCAGCCAUGCCGCGAAGGAUUAAGGUCCUCUGGAUUGUAAACUUCUUUUCUCUGGGGCGAAAACCAGCUAUUCUUAGCUAUUUGACAGUACCAGAGGAAUAAGCACCGGCUAACUCCGUGCCAGCAGCCGCGGUAAUAC